rnacentral:rRNA from 1 species
AUUGAACGCUGGCGGCAUGCCUUACACAUGCAAGUCGAACGGUAACGGGCCUUCGGGUGCGACGAGUGGCGAACGGGUGAGUAAUGCAUCGGAACGUACCUUUCAGUGGGGGAUAACGUAGCGAAAGUUACGCUAAUACCGCAUAUUCUGUGAGCAGGAAAGCAGGGGAUCGCAAGACCUUGCGCUGAUUGAGCGGCCGAUGUCAGAUUAGCUAGUUGGUGAGGUAAAGGCUCACCAAGGCGACGAUCUGUAGCGGGUCUGAGAGGAUGAUCCGCCACACUGGAACUGAGACACGGUCCAGACUCCUACGGGAGGCAGCAGUGGGGAAUUUUGGACAAUGGGGGCAAGCCUGAUCCAGCCAUUCCGCGUGCAGGAUGAAGGCCUUCGGGUUGUAAACUGCUUUUGUACGGAACGAAACGGCGAGCUCUAAUACAGUUUGCUAAUGACGGUACCGUAAGAAUAAGCACCGGCUAACUACGUG